AUGCUGGGUGGUCUCACUAAGCUGUUCCUUUCAUCCCCUGGUCAGCUGAGUGGGGAUAUUCUUGCUGCCCUGAGCAGGGUGCGUUGCUUGGCGUACCUGAAGCUAAUUGCAUCUCAACUGGACAAACUCACCAUCGUACAAGGUGCACUUGGAAGCCUGCAAUGCCUAUGCAUCAUGGUGGAAGUCAUGACUGAGCUGGAAGUCCAGGAGGGAGCUCUGCCACUCCUCGAGUCACUCCGGCUGCUAUGUACAGAUCUAAAUGGCUUUUGCAGCAUGACAAUCCAGUCCCUACGACGUAUUAAGGAGGUCACCCUCCAUGAUGGAGUAAGUGAUGAAACAAAGCACGAGUGGAAAGAAGCAGCAAAGAAACACCCCAGACGUCCCAAGCUCUUGUUUGUUAAGACAGUUGAAGAUGUUGAUAUGGGAUGUGAACCUACAUACAAUUCUGAGAUAACAACACCCCACAAUGCCAUUUUUACCGGACAGUCUGUACAAGUUGAUGGUGAUGACCUGCAACAGGAUGAUGAUGAGAAAGAAGAUACAGAUAAAAUUAAUAUCCUAGAGGAUUUUGCUAGCAAGACUUGUCUGGACCCUCCGAUGAACAAGGAAAGUUUUGAACAGGGGAUGGAAGGAAUGGUAGGUUUAGAGGAUGAGCGGAUGGAAGAUGUCACUCGGUCUACUGAUCAAAAUGAUGUACUUUUAGUGGUGGGUGAGAACAGAAGAAAGAGGGCAAGGUUGGACAUUGGUGAAGACAACUCAAUGGACAAGGUUGUUGAUAGGGUGAAGCGCAAGAACCCAGAGGAUGUCCAAGAAACGAGGCCUACAAAACAAACAGCGCCUGGAAUUGCGGUUGUUGUCUCUGAUGGAAACUGA
rnacentral:rRNA from 1 species